AAAAUGAAUUUAUUUAGCACAAUAACACAAAGUAAUCAUAAGUACUGGUGAGCUGAUAACACCAAUAUUAUACAGGCAUCCACACUAACUAAAAUACCCGGACAUUAAAAUGUACUUUCAUAAAAACGUUAUUUGUCCGUCAUCGCGGAGGGAUAUUCUAUUCAGCAUAGAAAAAUGCAGACACAUUUACAUAUUCAACUAAAAACAUUGGCCUAAAAAUAUUGAGAGAGUGCAUUUCAGAAAUGUUUAGAGUAAACUCUAGGGAAUUUUAAGCAAAAAGCAUGAAUACCAAGUUAAAAAUAAAGUCACAUUUUCACAUGCAUUAGAUGCGAUCUACCAACACCUCCCCACAACACAAAUGAUUAGUAAGAUUUUUGUUUAAUAAAAAUGCUUGUUUACCCAAAUUGGUUUAAAUUUUAAAAAGUUUUUUUUUUGCAUAAUCAAGACCAAAAUUACAAAAUUCUACACGUACCUCCCCUUUCGUUUAUUCAUGGACUUUUUCAUGUCCUGCUUUAGGGAAUGAACAUAUUAAUUUAUUAGCUUAAUUUGUAAUUACGGGUUCCAGGUCUUGUACAAGCUUAUGCUUUUUACCUGGGUCCCUCGUAUCAUUUUUUUGUCAUUAUUCCCGUUUGUUAUUUUCUUUGUGCUAUGAUAUGAAAAUAAACCAUAACCAUAACCACGAAGUCCUGAAAACUGCAUCAGUUUAAUAUGUUUUACCCCUCAAGAUGGGUUCAUUUCAGAAAGAUAUCCGACGUGCACUGAUGCCUACAAUUUAAGAUAUUCAAGACAUUUCAAAUACCAAAAACACUAUCAAUUCAACAAAACACCACACCUUUGUCAUUUGUUGACAAUUACACCGAUGAGUGAUUACAAUUAGUACAUGCAAGUUACAAUGAUAAAAAACACCUGUCACAUCAAACCGGCCAACACAUUAUCAAAAAUACUCUCCGACUGUUCAAUCAUAUCGCUCAUAAUUCAUCUCCCCUGUGGAGAUAAUAAAAUAUACUCAGUUUUUUUUGUUUCCAUUUCAUAAUUAUUUUUUUAAUGGACCAGGACAGAAGUGGUAACGAUUUCAGUAUGACAUUAGUUAAGAAAACGAAUGACAACAGAUGUUGCACAAGCACAUCCACACAAUUAUCAAACAAUUGUACUGGCAUUCACUUUCACAUGCAGACCGAGAAACACAAAGGUGACAACAGGCAAAUUCUCUGAAUCCUUUGUUCUGAGUACCACAAUACCAAGUAUAAUAAAUUGACUUGUUAUACCACGGUAAUAGAUUGUAAUAUGUAAAUUGUGUUCCCGUGCAAUGAAAAAAAUCAUCCUGUGCGAAUAUUCACGGUGAUCGCAGGAUUUUUUUCAAAAUAAUGCUUCCGCGAUUACUGCAGGGCAACUGGAGGAAACCCACAAUUUCAGACGCUUGGACGCUAUUACCGUGGUAUAACAAAACAAUUGUUGCCUGCCGUGAUUGGGGUCCAUGGGUUUUGUACACCCUCCGGGGUGCAAAUGGCACCCUCGGAUGUACAAAAACACCAUGGACCCCAUCACAACAGCCAACAAUUGUAUAAUGCUUCUCAAUACAAAGGGAACAAUCGCCUAAAUAAAGUCGUUUGUUCUGGGUACCACAAUGGACUCACAAGUACCCCCUCAACGGUUAUAAAGGGAGAGUGGGGGAGACCACUGGGAGGGACUUUCAAACGCAUCCUCGAAGGGGCCUGAGGCUUACUCCAAGACGCUACAGAUUUAUACACCUUCAGAAUACAUGGAAGUUGUAUGUACUUCACGCCAUACACUGUGUCCCUCCCGAUGGGACUUUCAAAUGUGGUCAUCAAGUGGCAAACGCUGUCUACUUUCUUCCACAGAGUCCUUUCAAGUAUGAUCAAUGAUCAACACACUCUCACUACCUCCUUUUUAAAAUUCAAAUUGAGCACAAAUGACGCAAUGUAUGAGUGGGUCGUGAACAAAAAAUAUCGUCAUACAUUGAGUAUUUUGCAAACUGAGUGACUAACUGAUGCUACAAAUGCGAUAUUUCUAUUAAAAAAGAAAAGAAAAAGGAACAAUCUUGAAUGUUAUAACAAUCACAAGUACCCAUUUUUAACUAAUGGAACACCCAGGGAAUAUCUCACACAAAUAUAUAUGGUUACGUAAAAACCUAUGAAUCAGUAAAACGCUAUGUACAGUUUCGGGUUAAUCUGCCACUUUUUGUACACUCGUUCCACAAUCCUUUUUUUGGAAAUUUGAAGGUUAGAUUGUCAGCUUAAGGCAAGAUUUCUUAUUUGGGAGUUCAAAAAAUCAAUAAAAAUCAAAUUAGGAGUUGAUUAAAAUCUCUGGGAUAAAGGAUACUGUUAUUAAGUUAGAGAGUUGUGCCAACAAUACAUUUAGGCAAAUUAAAAAUGACUACUUUUUUUUUUAACACCGAUGACUGCCUUUCUUAACACAAGAAAGUGGCAACCUCAGUGAAUAUAUGUUCUAAAGCAUUUGGUCUGGCAUAAGAUAGUAUUCAAAUAAUGAAUGUUUAUGAGUGCAAUGGUAAGAAUAAUUAUUCUUUCCAUUGCACAAAUGUUGAACAAUGCUAAAAUAAAGCCUCGUCAUCUGAUUGGUAAUUUGUAAACUGGUACUUUGAAUGUACAGCAUCAGAGCUGUCUGAAAGCGCAACCAAAAAUGUUACCGUGCGAUGGCAGUUCUAUUUACCCUGGAAUGGCACUUUUUUCUUUACGGUGCGGCCGCGCCAUGCAGUGGUACCAGUAGUUCAAGACAUGUGCUCCAUGACCCACCACUCAGAUGACGGGGAUUUAUUCAGGUGUUGUACAAUAGGGCCUACUCCAUACAGUGUAGCUCACUAAAUGGCAGUUAUCUGCACAUAUGCAGUCAGUGCGCAGCCUACUCGAUAAUGAGCCACACAGCGAGAUUUUAUUUGCAGCGCGUGGACGGUCUCGGACCGUUCGAGACUACACGAGGUUUUGCGAGUGUUCGGUGGUACCCCUGGAUAAAGGGACAGGAAACCCGUUUUGUAGCAGAAGCUGACUAAAAUGGAGUGGAUUCUGAAACUACGAUAAUUUCUGCGUCGAUUGAAACCAUUUUUGGCUGAUUAUUACAGGCUUAAAGUUAUAAAUAAGCGAUGUGAAAUGAGAGGUGAUUCUUGAACAUUUUCGACGAUGCCUGUACUUUUUUGGUGCUCCUGACUGUUUUGGGAUAUUUGGGGACAUAAUUCGUCACUUUCUGGCCAAGUACGCAGAGUGAUUGACCCUUUUCCCUAUCAAGACUAGUUGAACACAACACCUGAACUUGCAGACAGUUCGCAACUAUUUCAAUGGAACUUUAUUUACCAUGAAAUGAAACUUAAUGCUGCGACCGGAUAAGUGUUGUUCAAACCCGACCAGAAACCGACCAAACUUGCUUAAACUGACUUUCUGUUAGGUCGCCAUAAGUUUGUCCAUCAGUUUAGUCGGGCCAGGUUGGUUUCGGUAUUGCGUUUUAAGUCUUCUAAUUGUGUUGAGUCAGUUUAACCCGAAAUAAACCCAAACAGGAAGAAAUGUUGCAACCUGAGGCCACUUUUUUUCAUAAAUUUCCAAUGUUGUUAGAAAAUAUUUAAAAUUGUCUAGACUCUACAUAGACUUUGUACACAAUCAUGGAAGUGGCGUCAGGUUGCAACAUUUUUUCCGUUGGUUUUCCUUAAAUGUUUGUCGGGUCAGAUCAGGUUGGUUUUAGGGAGUUCAAAUUGGUUUCCGUUCGGAUUCCGGUUUACAAAAUAAUGUUUCGGGAUGGUUUGGCCUGGUCAAUCUGACCGGACACAUCACUAGACCGAAAUCCUUAUUUUUUGCAUGCCUAAAUUCAAAGACGUGUUGUCAACAACCCACAAAUCAGGCAUCGAGGAUUUUCAUGGCAUGUUGUAUUCAGAUCAUGUAUAAAAAGAACCCUGAAGAAUCAAUUCAAUCAUUGCUGAAUUUCCACUUUUCUUUUUUUUCAAGUAAGUCAUUUUGUGAGUGUGCUGUAUAUUUAAAAAACAAAAAUAUGAUGAAAAUGUCUGCAAACAGCUUUACACUGCACUCUAAACAAAGCUUGUAAAGAUUGUAAAGAUUUGUGUAAUUGUUUGCAUAUUUAACAAUUAUUGCCGAGGAAUGGAGCAGUUCAAUGGCCUUGUUAUUGUCUUAGAAUGAGUUGCUUGUGGGCAAGCUUGGGUAGGGAAUUUAUUUUAUAAUCUCAUGAAAUAUAGCAAGAAAGUGUACACAUGUACAUCCUAGAGCGAGCAUUAGUAACCUCGCACUUUGAAGAAAGUUUGGCUUGCAUGUAUUUUUAAGUUCAUUUUUUUAAAGUUGCUUUAUAUUUAUAAUUAAGUCAUUCUAUGUUUUCAGAAACUUUCUAUUGUAAGCAAUGUUUGUAAGUGUAAGUGGUUCAAGUUUCCAGGGUUUUAGUAAUAUGUUAACUCACUGAUGUAAUUAUUAAAUCCAGCUCAAAAGUAUGUAACUUUGCACUCUGAUUUUAUGAUUAAAUCGUUUUCCAGAAUUUCAGUCAUGAAAAGAGACAUGCCUUUGAUUAUUUGUGUUUAUAUUUUCAUGUUCAUAUAGUCAUACCCAUUGUUUUUUGUGUUUAUAUUUUUCAUGUUCAUGCACAUUGAAACUGUCAACAAA